GAUGAACGCUGGCGGCGUGCCUAAUACAUGCAGGUCGAGCGAACGGACGAGAAGCUUGCUUCUCUGAUGUUAGCGGCGGACGGGUGAGUAACACGUGGAUAACCUACCUAUAAGACUGGGAUAACUUCGGGAAACCGGAGCUAAUACCGGAUAAUAUUUUGGACCGCAUGGUUCAAAAGUGAAAGACGGUCUUGCUGUCACUUAUAGAUGGAUCCGCGCUGCAUUAGCUAGUUGGUAAGGUAACGGCUUACCAAGGCAACGAUGCAUAGCCGACCUGAGAGGGUGAUCGGCCACACUGGAACUGAGACACGGUCCAGACUCCUACGGGAGGCAGCAGUAGGGAAUCUUCCGCAAUGGGCGAAAGCCUGACGGAGCAACGCCGCGUGAGUGAUGAAGGUCUUCGGAUCGUAAAACUCUGUUAUUAGGGAAGAACAUAUGUGUAAGUAACUGUGCACAUCUUGACGGUACCUAAUCAGAAAGCCACGGCUAACUACGUG
rnacentral:rRNA from 1 species